UACAGAGGGUGCAAGCGUUAAUCGGAAUUACUGGGCGUAAAGCGUGCGCAGACGGUUGCGUAAGUCAGAUGUGAAAUCCCGGGGCUCAACCCUGGAACUGCAUUGGAUACUGCCUUGCUAGAGAGCUGGAGAGGAAACUGGAAUUUACGGUGUAGCAGUGAAAUGCGUAGAGAUCGAUAAGGAAGACCAGUGGCGAAGGCGAGUUUCUGGACAGCUACUGACGCUGAGGCACGAAGGCCAGGGGAGCAAACGGG
rnacentral:rRNA from 1 species